UACGGGGGGAGCAAGCGUUGUUCGGAUUUACUGGGCGUAAAGGGCGCGUAGGCGGUCGUGACAAGUCACUUGUGAAAUCUCCGGGCUUAACUCGGAACGGUCAAGUGAUACUGUCGUGCUAGAGUGCGGAAGGGGCUACUGGAAUUCUCGGUGUAGCGGUGAAAUGCGUAGAUAUCGAGAGGAACACCUGCGGCGAAGGCGGGUAGCUGGGCCGACACUGACGCUGAUGCGCGAAAGCCAGGGGAGCGAACGGG
rnacentral:rRNA from 1 species